rnacentral:rRNA from 1 species
GAAGACGGUCACAGUAAUCAGGAAACACCUGUUCCCAUUCCGAACACAGAAGUUAAGCUGAUUACGUUUGCUGCGUUAGUCUCCCACAAGAGGCGAAGCACAAAUGCCGUCCUCU